rnacentral:rRNA from 1 species
GGAAUAUUGGUCAAUGGGCGAGAGCCUGAACCAGCCAAGUAGCGUGCAGGAUGACUGCCCUAUGGGUUGUAAACUGCUUUUAUAGGGGAAUAAAGUGCGGAACGUGUUCCGUUUUGUAUGUACCCUAUGAAUAAGGACCGGCUAAUUCCGUGCCAGCAGCCGCGGUAAUACGGAAGGUCCGGGCGUUAUCCGGAUUUAUUGGGUUUAAAGGGAGCGCAGGCGGGCUUUUAAGCGUGACGUGAAAUGUGGCGGCUCAACCGCCGAACUGCGUCGCGAACUGGUUAUCUUGAGUGAGUUCGACGUAUGCGGAAUUCGUGGUGUAGCGGUGAAAUGCUUAGAUAUCACGAAGAACUCCGAUUGCGAAGGCAGCCAACAAGGCCUUUACUGACGCUAAAGCUCGAAGGUGCGGGUAUCGAACA